rnacentral:rRNA from 1 species
AGUCGACGGCAGCACAAAGAAGCUUGCUUCUUGGGUGGCGAGUGGCGAACGGGUGAGUAAUGCAUCGGAACGUACCGAGUAAUGGGGGAUAACUAAUCGAAAGAUUAGCUAAUACCGCAUACGAUCUAAGGAUGAAAGCAGGGGAUCUAUAAGACCUUGCGUUAUUCGAGCGGCCGAUGUCUGAUUAGCUAGUUGGUGGGGUAAAAGCCUACCAAGGCGACGAUCAGUAGCGGGUCUGAGAGGAUGAUCCGCCACAUUGGGACUGAGACACGGCCCAAACUCCUACGGGAGGCAGCAGUGGGGAAUUUUGGACAAUGGGGGCAACCCUGAUCCAGCCAUGCCGCGUGUCUGAAGAAGGCCUUCGGGUUGUAAAGGACUUUUGUCAGGGAAGAAAAGGUUAAUGAUAAUACCAUUAGCUGAUGACGGUACCUGAAGAAUAAGCACCGGCUAACUACGUGCCAGCAGCCGCGGUAAUACGUAGGGUGCGAGCGUUAAUCGGAAUUACUGGGCGUAAAGCGAGCGCAGACGGUUAUUUAAGUCAGAUGUGAAAUCCCCGAGCUCAACUUGGGAAUUGCGUUUGAAACUGGGUAACUAGAGUAUGUCAGAGGGGGGUAGAAUUCCACGU